rnacentral:rRNA from 1 species
UGAUCAUGGCUCAGAACGUACGCUGGCGGCACGCCUAACACAUGCAAGUCGAACGAAGUAGCAAUACUUAGUGGCAGACGGGUGAGUAACAUGUGGGUAUCUACCCUUUGGCCUGGAAUAACACGAGGAAACUUGUGCUAAUACCGGAUAAGUCUUUACGGAGAAAGCUUUAUGCACCAUUGGAUGAGCCUGCACUUGAUUAGUUUGUUGGUGGGGUAAUGGCCUACCAAGACUGUGAUCAAUAGCUGAUUUGAGAGGAUGAUCAGCCACAUUGGGACUGAGACACGGCCCAAACUCCUACGGGAGGCAGCAGUGGGGAAUCUUGCACAAUGGAGGAAACUCUGAUGCAGCGAUGCCGCGUGAGUGAAGAAGGCCUUUGGGUUGUAAAGCUCUUUUGUAGGGGAAGAUAAUGACUGUACCCUAAGAAUAAGGUCCGGCUAACUUCGUGCCAGCAGCCGCGGUAAUACGAAGGGACCUAGCGUAGUUCGGAAUUACUGGGCUUAAAGAGUUCGUAGGUGGUUGAAAAAGUUGGUGGUGAAAUCCCAGAGCUUAACUCUGGAACUGCCAUCAAAACUUUUCAGCUAGAGUAUGAUAGAGGAAAGCAGAAUUUCUAGUGUAGAGGUGAAAUUCGUAGAUAUUAGAAAGAAUACCAAUUGCGAAGGCAGCUUUCUGGAUCAUUACUGACACUGAGGAACGAAAGCAUGGGUAGCGAAGAGGAUUAGAUACCCUCGUAGUCCAUGCCGUAAACGAUGUGUGUUAGACGUUGGAAAUUUAUUUUCAGUGUCGCAGGGAAACCGAUAAACACACCGCCUGGGGAGUACGACCGCAAGGUUAAAACUCAAAUGAAUUGACGGGGACCCGCACAAGCGGUGGAGCAUGUGGUUUAAUUCGAAGAUACGCGCAGAACCUUACCAACCCUUGACAUGUCUGUCGCGAGUUUAGGAAACUAGACUUUUCGGUUCGGCCGGACAGAACACAGGUGCUGCAUGGCUGUCGUCAGCUCGUGUCGUGAGAUGUUGGGUUAAGUCCC